GGGGAUGUGGCUCAGUGGUAGAGCACUUGCCCAGCGUGUGCAAGGCCCUGGGUUCCAUCCCCAGCACUUCA
rnacentral:tRNA from 1 species